rnacentral:rRNA from 1 species
UACAGAGGUCUCAAGCGUUGUUCGGAUUCAUUGGGCGUAAAGCGCGUGUAGGCGGACUGGAAGGUCUGGUGUGAAAGCCCGGGGCUCAACCCCGGAGGGUCACUGGAAACCGACAGUCUCGAGUCCGGAAGAGGAGAGUGGAAUUCCUGGUGUAGCGGUGGAAUGCGCAGAUAUCAGGAGGAACACCUAUGGCGAAGGCAGCUCUCUGGUACGUGACUGACGCUGAGACGCGAAAGCGUGGGGAGCGAACAGG